rnacentral:rRNA from 1 species
GGAUGCGAUCAUACCAGCACUAACGCACCGGAUCCCAUCAAAACUCCGAAGUUAAGCGUGC